GUCAUCUUCCCCCACCUGGAGGUAAUCACCAUUCUGACUCUUACUGUCAUCGAUUAGUUUUGCCUGCUGUCGAGUUUCAUAGACUCAAAGGUUUUCAGGGCAACAGUUUCCCCCAUGACCCAAUUCUCUGUUGGAUCUAAGAAGAGUUGUUGAUUUUCAGUUGGUUCAGCUUUUUUCUUGUCAUGAAGACAUGAGUGAAGACUUCAAGCCCUUUACUUGUUGGACCAGAAAUCAGAAGUUCACCAGCCUUCCUACCCUUUCCUGCAGAGUGGCUCCAGUAGUGCCUUCAUGAGCAUGAAAGUGAUGAGAACAGCCCAGUCGGAACACAGUCAGAAAGGCAUCUUCCAAAAGUACUGUCUUCAUAGUGGGCAAUGCAGUAAGUUCUACCAGAAAGAACAGGAGAGACGUGACUGAAAUACCUUCAGAACCUUGUCAGGUCACAGCACCCCUCUACAAUGCCACUUUCAUUCUCCGGUUUCUGGGACAACCUUGGGAGAUUUCAAAUUCUGAAUGUUGACAGGUAGGUAAGGAGACGCAUCAGAAUCUGGCUGGGUGAGUGUGUGCAGGGAGGACAGGGAACAAGUUUGUGAAAGUUCCCAAGGAGGUUGCCCCCUAGGGUUGCCAGAUUUAACAAACAGAAGUGCAGGGCACCCAGUUAAAUGGAACUUUCAGAAAAACAAUGAAUACUUCUUAGCAUACGUGUGUCCUAUGUGAUAUUGGGUUCAUACUUCUACUAAAAAAAGAAAUGUGUUUGUCUGAAAUGCAAAUCUAACUGGGCACCAUGUAUUUGGCAACUCUCCCAUUCUUUCCACCUUCAAACAGAAAAGAGACAUUUUCAAACACUAUUUUUAAAAAGCAUACACUCACUGUUAAAAAAUGCAGAGAAAUACAAAAAAUCAAAUUAAAACCAGUCAUAAUCCAGUCAUAAUUUUACCACCCAGAUUUAUUAA